rnacentral:misc_RNA from 1 species
AAACAAAAACAGUCAAGUCAAGGUGAGUUUAUUUUUUCUCACAGAGGGAAAUAUAUUUUUUUAUAUGUCUAAUAGCUGAAAUGUACUUAAGUUAUCAAGGGAUUGGAUAAAUGAGGGGCAUAAAGGUAGUUUUGACUAAUUUGUAUUAGUGUGUUGAGUCCUACACUCCUACUACUAAGCAAUCAGUACUGUCAGUGUCAGCCUUGUUUUAUUGUGCACUGAAAAGUGGUUCCCAGCAAGUUAAUCUUUAUGAAUACCUUGGAUAGCCAUUUUUGUACUAUAGGUUCCUCUACUUGAGUCAUUGAUUUUCUCAAUGAAGCAAGUUAUGUCUUGCCAAAAAAGGGAGGAUUCAAAAAGAACAAGAAGUCCAGGUCAUCAGUUAAAUCUUGUUGUUUUAAACAGUAAAAUUGGGCCAAGAAGUCCAUCUUCCUUGCAUAAUCUGUUACUGGCUGUUUAAGGGAAUGAUAUGGAACCUUCACAUGAUACCACUUAGAGGAUUUUUACUUGGAAGGAUUUUGGUAUGUCUGAAUUUCUCACUUUAUUGAAAUUUCUAACUAUUAAGAACUUGUUCAAGAUGGGUUCAAAUCUUUGUAAAUUAAUGCUUUUCUUCAUUUGUUAUUUUGAAUUUUUUGGGUUUUGCUGUACUUGGUGAAUGAAGCACAAUUUAGGUUGACUUUUGGGAAGAGGAGUAAAUUGCUUCAGAUUUCAGAAAGGAGCUUGUCUUAGUUUGACGUGCACCUUAUGAUUGGAAUGAAAGCAGUGGAACAGAAUUUGGUGUAGCUUAUGGCUUCUGUCCCUUUUAUUUAUUUUUUUUCAAACACAUGCUCAUUUCCUUAUAUGAUGCAAUGUUGCCAAAGUUGCUGCACCUCUAACUACUUGCAUUCUGGAUUGCACAAUCACUUUUAAUGACCUUACUAUUUAAAAAAGAAAAAGAGUUUUAGACAAAUUGGAGACUGAAUAAAGCCUUGCAUUUAGUAAUCACAUAAUAAUUCGUGGCCUACUGGUUUACUUUUGGGAUUGCAUGAAUCUAAGAGUGAGCCAUUUUGUGUUUUCCCUGCUAUUAUAACAAGAAACUUCU